rnacentral:rRNA from 1 species
CCUACGGGAGGCAGCAGUGAGGAAUAUUGGACAAUGGGCGCAAGCCUGAUCCAGCCAUGCCGCGUGCAGGAAGAAGCAUCUAUGGUGUGUAAACUGCUUUUGUACAGGAAGAAACACUCCCUCGUGAGGGAGCUUGACGGUACUGUAAGAAUAAGGACCGGCUAACUCCGUGCCAGCAGCCGCGGUAAUACGGAGGGUCCGAGCGUUAUCCGGAAUCAUUGGGUUUAAAGGGUCCGUAGGCGGUUUAAUAAGUCAGUGGUGAAAUCUGGUCGCUCAACGAUCAAACGGCCAUUGAUACUGUUAGACUUGAAUUAUAAGGAAGUAACUAGAAUAUGUAGUGUAGCGGUGAAAUGCUUAGAUAUUACAUGGAAUACCAAUUGCGAAGGCAGGUUACUACUUAUGGAUUGACGCUGAUGGACGAAAGCGUGGGGAGCGAACAGGAUUAGAUACCCUGGUAGUCCACGCCGUAAACGAUGGAUACUAGCUGUUCGGAGCAAUCUGAGUGGCUAAGCGAAAGUGAUAAGUAUCCCACCUGGGGAGUACGUUCGCAAGAAGAGAAAGUAAAGUAAAGUUAGUAGGCGNGAGAGAGCGACGGACGACACGAGGGAGGAGG